rnacentral:rRNA from 1 species
GACGAUGCGUAGGGGUUCUGAGAGGAAGGUCCCCCACAUUGGAACUGAGACACGGUCCAAACUCCUACGGGAGGCAGCAGUGAGGAAUAUUGGUCAAUGGCCGGAAGGCUGAACCAGCCAAGUCGCGUGAGGGAAUAAGGCCCUACGGGUCGUAAACCUCUUUUGUCAGGGAGCAAGGCCGCCCACGUGUGGACGGAAGGAGAGUACCUGGAGAAAAAGCAUCGGCUAACUCCGUGCCAGCAGCCGCGGUAAUACGGAGGAUGCGAGCGUUAUCCGGAUUUAUUGGGUUUAAAGGGUGCGUAGGCGGCCUGCCAAGUCAGCGGUAAAAUUGCGGGGCUCAACCCCGUACAGCCGUUGAAACUGCCGGGCUCGAGUGGGCGAGAAGUAUGCGGAAUGCGUGGUGUAGCGGUGAAAUGCAUAGAUAUCACGCAGAACCCCGAUUGCGAAGGCAGCAUACCGGCGCCCUACUGACGCUGAGGCGCAAAAGUGCGGGGAUCAAACAGGAUUAGAUACCCUGGUAGUCCGCACAGUAAACGAUGAAUGCUAGCUGUCCGGGGGGAUUGACCCCUG